GAUGAACGCUGGCGGCGUGCCUAAUACAUGCAAGUCGAGCGAACGGAUGAGAAGCUUGCUUCUCUGAUGUUAGCGGCGGACGGGUGAGUAACACGUGGAUAACCUACCUAUAAGACUGGGAUAACUUCGGGAGACCGGAGCUAAUACCGGAUAAUAUUUUGAACCGCAUGGUUCAAAAGUGAAAGACGGUCUUGCUGUCACUUAUAGAUGGAUCCGCGCUGCAUUAGCUAGUUGGUAAGGUAACGGCUUACCAAGGCAACGAUGCAUAGCCGACCUGAGAGGGUGAUCGGCCACACUGGAACUGAGACACGGUCCAGACUCCUACGGGAGGCAGCAGUAGGGAAUCUUCCGCAAUGGGCGAAAGCCUGACGGAGCAACGCCGCGUGAGUGAUGAAGGUCUUCGGAUCGUAAAACUCUGUUAUUAGGGAAGAACAUAUGUGUAAGUAACUGUGCACAUCUUGACGGUACCUAAUCAGAAAGCCACGGCUAACUACGUG
rnacentral:rRNA from 1 species